UACGUAGGGCGCAAGCGUUGUCCGGAAUGAUUGGGCGUAAAGAGCUCGUAGGCGGUUUGUCGCGUCUGCUGUGAAAACGCGAGGCUCAACCUCGCGCCUGCAGUGGGUACGGGCAGACUAGAGUGCGGUAGGGGAGAUUGGAAUUCCUGGUGUAGCGGUGGAAUGCGCAGAUAUCAGGAGGAACACCGAUGGCGAAGGCAGAUCUCUGGGACGUUACUGACGCUGAGGAGCGAAAGCGUGGGGAGCGAACAGG
rnacentral:rRNA from 1 species